GUACACUUAAAAUCGUUUUAUUUACAGAUCAUUCAACUCUACUAUAUUACACGACAAUCCUUACGACUUGCAUGGAACUGUUUACAUAGUUAUUGAAGACAACAGAUACAUUGCGUUUAUAUAGAAAUUUUUCGCUCAAACAGAAUGGAUCCAUUUUCUAUUUUUGCACACGUAAAACGUAGGAUACGCAUAAAGCAAUCCAUAACUUCAUGUACACGAACGCUAUCUCAGUUAGAAAACAGUUACUCCACAAGCAAAGGCGUCGGUUGAUUUUGUCGACAUACCAUUUUAGAUGUUCAACUUGGUACGUCUCCAGUGUCUUCUCUUCAUGUUAUAAUGAACAGUGUUUCCGGUGCGAAGACGAAUCCAUUGAGGAAUGGGGCGGUUUUGACGCGCAGCCUUGGCAAGCUUUUGCUUGGUACGGAAACUCUUGUGAGAAGGCAUUUUGUGGAAGACAGAGUGUUGCAUCCACGCAACUAAAGCGAAUGUGACUGCUCUUUUUUCACAACUGUGACUGUCUUUUGAAGGUUUUUGUAGGAUUUAAGGAAUAAUUUCAACAUACUAUGGUACAUAUUGCUAGUAACCGUUAAAACUGUUUUGUGAAAUAUGCCGUCAGAGCGUUAUUUAAACUAGAAUUGAGAUACUGAAGAAAUAAUUAAAUAUAUUUCAGUUAGUCCAAAAGCUUGUUGUUAGAAAAAGGCAGACGCAUUCAAGAAAGUAGUGUUAGUAAGUAAUAUUUGGUUCAAUCAUAUCAAAGUAAACUUGCUAUUAAUUUUACAUUUGGGCUAGAAGCUCAUAUUUUAAGCAUUGAGGUACAAAGAAGUUCCCAAGUCAAAAAACUUCUAUUUUGUUACUACUAUUUACAAUUUGAAAAACUACGAAAUCCGUACUUAUGAGGGUCAAUAAAAAAACAAAAAACGAAUCCAUUAUUCAUUAUGAAUCAAAGUUAAUGGUAAGAGUAAAAUGCCAUCGUACCGAUUACGAUAAAAUAGACAAUUAUUUGCACGUUAGCAAAUUAAAUUAAUCAGUUGACCAAACAACAUUAAAUAGCACAGACAUUAAAAUUCCUUACAUUGCUAGUAAGGCCAUAAUGCCUAAAAAGUAACCUUGUUAUUCAAUCCUUGAAAUUGACAAGUUUUUGGAAUAAAACACAAACCUGACUAUGGAUGAAGACAUAUCUAGAAGACAAACGACAAACAUCCAUUUUCAAAAUAAGGAAAUAUUAAGUAAUUUAAUAGCAUUGGUCAUGCUUCAUCGCAUAAUAGUAUACAUGACCUAAAUAAAGGAAAUUCGGAAAUAACUUAACGAUAUAUGAGGGAGUUAAUCUAAACAAUGGAAACCCUUUUACUGAUCAGAAAGACAAAAAAAGGGCUCUUGUCGGGUAUCACCCUUUUCAAAUAAAUUAUGCUUUGUUCAAUCCCUGUUCAACCACAAGUUCAUAGUAACGACCGCGCUGUUUAACAAGCUCGGCAUGAGUACCAGCUUCAGCGAUAACACCACCAUCAAAUACGAAAAUACAGUCUGCAUCUUGGAUAGAAGACAAACGAUGAGCAAUUGCUACCGUGGUUCUACCUUGAGAGGCGGCAUUUAAAGCUUCUUGAACGACCUUUUCGCUAUGACUGUCUAAAGCACUGGUUGCUUCAUCUAAAAGGAGAAUCUUUGGAUUUCUAAUUAAUGCUCUAGCAAUGGCAAUACGCUGUUUUUGACCACCAGAUAAGGAAGAGCCCUUUUGACCGCAAAGUGUGUUAUAACCGUUGGGCAAUCCAAGAAUAAACUCAUGAAUAUUGGCCUUCUUGCAAGCUUCAAUCAUCUCUUCUUCAGAGACAUCUUUAGAUGCGCCCAAAACAAUGUUCUCACGAACAGUACCUUGGUACAACGUUGGCUCUUGAGAGACAAGGGCAAUUUGUUUGCGGUAGUCGUUAAUGUUAUAGUCACGAACAUUAACACCGUCCACCAAUACAGCUCCAUUGUCGCAAUCGUAGAAACGCUCGAUAAGCCCAAUGGUCGUAGAUUUACCACAGCCAGAAGAUCCUACGAAUGCGACAAACUGCCCGGGCUUCACAGUGAGGUUCAAACCACGAAGAACUUUAAUAUGCCUUCUGGUAGGGUAACUAAAUUCAACUUGCCUGAAUUCAAUUGCUGCACUUUGAAGGGAUUCAACUUUCUUUCCUUCCGUCGACCAUGUAUCAAUUUUAGGUUUUGAUUCGGACAAAUACUUAAUUUCACCGGCAGCAGCCUUUGCUUUUGUUACAUCUGCUGAGUAACCAAAGAAUUGACCAGCUUGUUGUAUACCAAAGACAAUUGCAAUAAAACAAGUAUAAAACUGAACGAUGUUAUAUUCGCCCUUGCGCAUUAAGGUAGAACCAUACCAAAAUGUCAAUGCGUUAAUCAAAAAGGUAACACCUUGAGCAGCAGAAAAGAAUAAACCAGAUUUCAAUGAUGCGAUUGCCGACUCACGGCCAGGUUUGAUGAGAGAAUCACAAUACUCAGCAAAAACGUUUUCUUCGCGAUUAAGACUAGCGACUGUACGAAUGGCUGAAGUUGACUCGCAUGCGAACGCAGCUGACUCUUUGUAGGCAGCAGACAACUUCUCUUGGACUUGAUCAAGAGCACGUACACGGUAAUAACCAGCAGUAAUGAUAACAGGGGAGGUCGAAAGGGUCACCAAACCCAACUUCCAUCCUGUAGCCAAAGAUAAAAUCGUAACUGAAAUGAUAUUGGUCAAAAUUUGGAAAAAGGUUCCUAAAGUCGGGCCGCUCAAUCCCUCCAAAGACUGAAUUUUCGUUGAUAAAGAAGUAGUAAUAGCACCAACUGUGUUCUCACUACGGUCGAAAAACUCAACAUCUUGACGAAGCAAUGUUCGAAAUAGAUGAUAACGAAUUCUUUGCAAAACUGCUUCCAUUGCAUAAGUCAUUGCAAAAUUGGAAAUUGCAUAAGCGAAGAAUUGAACAAUAGCUAGAAUAAGCCAAUAAACAGCAAACACGUUUACUUUGUGUAAAAAGUCUGUGGAUGAGAGAUCAGUGAAGAUAUUGAGAAAUCUUGCAAAAACAGCUGCCUGAACAGGGUAAGCUGCACCACAAAUCAUAGAAGCCAAAAUACCAAUUAAUAGACAAAUAAUCUCUAUCAUUGUCCGUACAAAAGAAUGAAUGAACCAUAACGCUGUUAACGAAUUAAUCUCAUGGUUGUUUUUCUUUGACUUUUUGGACUUUUUAGGCUCCUCAUUAAGUUCACCGACAUCUGCAGGAGGUAGGUUUGGAACAAUUUCGGAAGCUACAUGCUGAAGGGUUUUGUCUUCAAACACGACAUUAUCUUUCUCGUUGAGUUUAUUAUUCAACGUAUCAGUAUCCGUAUUAUGGGACAUCAUAGGGGCCUCGAGGCUAGCCAUAUCAUUAUCUUCAUCAUCGUCACCAAAAGACGUUAUGGGUAUUUCCCUCGGAGCAUCCUCCAGUUCUUCCUCGACCAUUUCCUGGUCUUUUUCUCCACCUGAUAGCUUUUGAGCUUCUACUAGUCUAGCAUAAGCACCAUUCAGAUCUAACAAUUCAUUGUGGGAGCCCUGUUCAACAAUUUUUCCUGCAUUCACUACGACAAUAUUAUCAGCGUUACGAAUUGUAGAAAGACGAUGAGCAAUAACGAUAGUGGUACGAGAUCUCGAUGCAUUAUCUAGAGCUUUCUGAACAAGCACUUCACUCUUAGAGUCUAAAGCACUUGUGGCUUCGUCCAACAAUAAGAUCUUGGGAUCACUAAUAACGGCCCUAGCGAUUGCAAUUCUUUGUUUUUGUCCUCCUGACAUAAGGAAACCGCGUUGUCCAACAUUAGUUGAAAAUUGCUCGGGUAAUGUCAUAAUAAAGUCGUAAGCGUUGGCAAGCUUAGCGGCAUCAUAAACUCUUCUUUCCAAUUCUUCCUUAGACAAGGUACCUUUAAUUGUAUCAGGCAGGCCAUAAGUUAUAUUUUCAAACACAGUUGUAGCAAACAGAACCGGUUCUUGUUGUACCAAAGAUAUUUGAUUUCUCAGCGAAGCAACGUUCAGCGUUCUAAGGUCUUUACCAUCUAAGAAAACCUGCCCACCAAUGGGGUCGUAAAAUCGCUCAACAAGUCCAAUGAUCGUGGAUUUGCCGCUACCACUGGCACCUACUAAAGCAGUAAUUUUACCAGAAGGGCAUACCAAAGAAAAGUUAUCCAGCACUAAAACUUCAGGACGAGUAGGAUAAACAAAUCGAAUAUUUUUCAAUUCGAUCUCCCCUUUAAUAUCUUUGACUACAUCACCAGUAGGUGUAAAAGCAUUAAUUGGACUAACACGAUCAAUUGUGUCGAAAAUCUUUUUAGCGGCUGAGGCACAACUAACAAAUGACUGCAUCUUAGGAGAAAUGUUGGCCAAACUAUAGGAAGCAAUAAGGACGGCGAAAAAGCAGCCAAUUAAUUUGCUAACAUCUAAAUCACCUGCAUGUAGGAGGCGUCCACCUUCCCAAAAUGCAAGACCGUAAACACCAUACGCAACAAAGAACAUCCAUCCAACCAUUAAACCCAUUGCAAUUGCCUUAUUGAUACCGAAGCGUUGUGCAGUUAUUAAGUACUUAUUGUACAAUUUUGCAAGAAUAUCUUGGGUACCAAAAGCAAAAGCAUUUCUGAUAUUGGAAAACACUUCUUCCACAAAUGUACUGGAUUCGGCAACGACGGCGAUUUGACCUUUGGUGUUUUUGGUAAUAAAGGGAACACCCAAGCCGAUACCACCACAAAUGGCUGGAAACAUUGAACUCAAUAUCAAUGUGAACUUCCAAUGACGAAUAAAAGCGAUAACAAAACCAGAUACAAAGGUUGCUAUUGCAAAGAACACCAAUCCGACCUUCUCACCUAAACCAUCUUGAAUAAAGUUUGUAUCAGUAGUAAUUCGAGUGGUAAUUUCACCGGCACCUAGACGAUCGAAAUAACCGAUAUUUUGGGAAAGAAUGGCAUGCAAAUAAUCUUGUCGAAUACGACGGGCAAUCCGCUCUCCUGCAAUAAUAAAGGUUACAGUGUAAAUAUAUGAACAGCCAAAGACACCAAUUGCGAUGUAAAUAAAAUAAAGACAAAAGUGAUCUACAGUGUGUUGGAAAGAUGACGCUCCUUUGCCAGAGGCAAGGUCGGUAAAAGCUUGAGCCAGCUGACCGGAUACAAGGGACAUCAAUGGCAUACCCAGGCCGGCACCAAUACCAGUAAUGGUGCCUGCCAAUUGCAGCAUAAUAUCCCAUUUAUCGGCGUAUGAAAGGAUUCUAGGGUAUCCAGAAAGUUUGGCAGGUGUGUCAUUAAUUUGUUUGUAAAGGAUUUCUUGUUCUUCAGGAGUAUACUGUUCAAAAGGAUCUUUGACAACAUCUACCACGUGGCUUUCAGAAGCCUCAUUCUCGCUUUUCUCUGUUGAAAAGUUUUUUUCAUUUGAAGGUAUGCUUUUGAUAGAAAGGUCCAAAGAAUGUUCGUUAUCCUUAACCGUAGAAGUGGAUUUUUUACUAUGCA